AAAACUUUCAACAACGGAUCUCUUGGUUCCGGCAUCGAUGAAGAACGCAGCGAAAUGCGAUAAGUAAUGUGAAUCGCAGAAUUCAGUGAAUCAUCGAAUCUUUGAACGCACAUUGCGCCCCUUGGUAUUCCAAGGGGCAUACCUGUUCGAGCGUCAUUGCACCCCUCACGCCCCUCCCCUUCUGGGGCGUGGUCUUG
rnacentral:rRNA from 1 species